GACCUAAACCAAUGACUUCGGUCGCUGGCAUGGUUUCAAAUCGUAGUGCAUAGAGAACCCGUCAUUCAGGGCGUGCACUACGUUAUACAGGGAAACUUGUAUAGGGCCGCAAGGCCU
rnacentral:sRNA from 1 species